AAACAAGACCAGACUGAUGGAAUUGGCUCAGCCUGCAGUUUCUGCAGCUCUAAUUUCAAGAGGAAGUAAAGACGGUAAGACAAGAGAUAAACCACAUUCAAGUUUGUCAGCUCUUGCUUGGAUUCCGUGAACCAUCUUAGCAUCAUUCUA